UCGUUUCAUUCUCUUAAUAAUGCUUCCACAGAAACCUCACCAGAAACUCCUCUAAUGUUCGGAUUUUCUAGUAGCAGUUUCUUCCAGGCUUUUUCUGUCAAGUGCCUCAAAACUCUUCUAGCCUCUACUGGUGACCUGAUUGCAAAGCUUCUUCCACAUUUUUAGAUAUUUUUUCAGCCAUACCCAUUUCCUGGUACCAGAAUCUAUAAUAUCCUGCAUAUUAUCACAUUGCUUGGAUGUACCGUAAUUUUUUAAAACAGACCCCAGUUUCUGAACAUUUAGGUGUCUGGAUGUGUUUUCAUUAUUAGAAGCAAAGUGGUAGUGAACUUUCUUGUGUAUUAUUACCUUGCAUAUUGGUUGAAUAUUUACCUCAGGAUAAAUUCUAGAAAUGAAAUUGUGAGUCAGAGGGUAUUGCAAAUUUUAAAGGUUUUAGUAUAUGUUCAGUGGCAGACUCUUAAUUCCUAACCUAGGUUGCUGACUUCAAGGCUGGUUCUUAUUGUGGCCUGCUUUGCUUGGAUUGGGGUUAUUAGUGGGAGAUCUGAUUGAAUUUAAUUUAAUUGAUUUCAAGUUGUCAAUCAGUGUUUCUGAAACUUGGUCUUCUGAUGUACGAGUUUGCAGAAACCCUUUCCAAAUUCUGGCAUGUGCUCUUGUCAUGUGUUGUUACUUCUGUAGAAGCUUUCUAGGACACUUCAGUGUGGGGGCCUGAGUGUGGCAAGGGCUGACGGUGGGGGCUGUUGGUGGUUUUUUGUAAGCACUGUUUUAUGGGAAGAAUCCCAAGGACGACUUCUGCUCCUUGGCCGUCUUCAUUACAUAAGCUAUUACAUAAGCUAGUUCUACAGAUGUAUCCAGGGGUAAUUGUUUCAAUUAUUCUAGUGAGACAGUUUUUCCCACCUACUUAUAAUUACAUACUUUUGAAAUAAAAAUGCUUGUGAAAAUAUUGGAACUUUUGUCAGAUGAAAAAAAUCUAGUUUGUUGGCAAUGUAGAUUUAGCAAAUACCCUGUGUAAAAUAACGUAAGUCCCAUUCAUGACCUAAAAUGUAGAUCAUUUAUGGAGUUAGUGCUUAUUUAAUCUUAUGUUGAAGCCAUGUAACAAGCUCCAUAGAGAAUAUGAAAGAAGGGCAUGGCUGCCCUUAACAAAAGUUUUACAUUAUAAAUGAGAAUGUAUAAUGUUCACAUAAGAAUAAAAUAUUAAUCAGGGUUCACAAAGCUCUGAAUAGGCAAGUACAUAAUAUAAUUAAAAUUUGGUUUUAACAAUGUGCUCUCUGAGGUGAUUUGGAAGAGGAAGUUGAAAGAAUUUAUCUGAAAUACUUUAAUUCAUGUCUCCUCAUUUUAGGAUUGCAUUUUAAAGACGAUUUCUCUGAUUGAGUUGUCUUUUGGAAGAUUAAACCCAUUUCAAGAGGACUUGGAGCUGGUCCUCGCCUUGAGGAAGCAGUGGCUUGUUUUCAAGAAGCCACUUCCAAUCUAAGGAUCUACCCAGCAUGCCUAAUCAAGGAGAAGACUGCUAUUUUUUUUUCUAUUCUACAUGUACCAAAGGUGACAGCUGUCCCUUUCGUCACUGUGAAGCUGCACUAGGAAAUGAAACUGUUUGCACAUUAUGGCAAGAGGGGCGCUGUUUUCGACAGGUGUGCAGGUUUCGGCACAUGGAGAUUGAU